GACAUCACCACAUAGGACACUUUGAUGGACGAGGCGUAACCCUGCUGGAGGUGUGUGGGAGCUGGCCCGAGAGCUUUGGGGUGCCAGGGCACCAUACCGGAUCGGCCGACAUCAGCGAUGAAGGCCUGAGGGAGAGACUAGCCGACGCCAUGUCCGAGUCCCCUUCCAGGGACAUUGUGGGCUCUGCUACAGAGCUGCAGAGGGAGGGCAGCAUCGAAACCCUCAGCAACAGCUCGGGCUCCACCAGCGGCAGCAUCCCGCGCAACUUCGAAGGAUACCGCUCCCCUCUGCCCACCAACGACAGCCAGCCGCUCAGCCUGUUCCCCACCACCUUCCCCUGAAGCCCCGCCCACUCAGGCAGCCGCUGGAGGCCAGAUUCAGGAGCUGCAGAAACAUCAGCUGAUUUUUUUAUUUUUUUAUGAAUGAAUUAUCUGAUGACCAGAGAAGAAUCGCUUUAUUGUUGCCUCCAAACAUGUAGUAGAAGGUGUUGAUGACUCUGAUGCGUCAGGAAGACGGCCUCCUCUGCUGCCCCGCCCCCACGCCGUCCCUGAGGUCUGAGGCCUGUCGUCUGUUCGGGUCGCAGGAGAAGCAGCUCGACAGCAGAGGAGAAAAUGUUUAUUCCAGUUAGUGACGUGUAGCAGCUCCUUGUUUCCCUGUGUGUGUGUGUGUGUGUGUGUGUGUGUGUGGCCGCUCCCCAAAUGUUUCUGAUUAAAUUUACUCUUCUUGCCUUUGAUUUUGGUGUAAUUCCAUUUGACAAAGACGCAGUAAUGAGAUGACACUAUUACUACACGCUGAAGUCAUUUAGAUGUUUACAGUAGAACUUUUUCUGCUUUUAUUUACAGCCUCUCCGUUUGGUGCGUCCUGAUUGGCUCGCUGACGUCUUUGUUUUUUUAACAUGUUUUGACCAAAAUUUAGAAAAAUGUUUAGAUGUUUGUGUAACCAUAUUUUCCUUAGAUGUGAUGAUUUUUUUCCUGUUUCAUGAUCUUCCGGCUCUUUCCUUUCUGCCGCCUCUUUAUGAAAUGAUGUUAAAUAAUUGCAGGUUUUCUGCGUGAAGUUUAUCAGAGGGACGGAGUGGAGCGUGAAUCUAGAUAUUCAGAACAUCUGCUUGUUGUAGAUCUAUUCCCAGCAUUCAUGCAUUAAAAGCUUAAUAAAAGUGGAAUAAAUUCAUGAA